rnacentral:rRNA from 1 species
UACGUAGGGUGCAAGCGUUGUCCGGAAUUAUUGGGCGUAAAGGGCUCGUAGGCGGUCCAUCGCGUCGGGAGUGAAAAGCUGGGGCUCAACCCCAGUCCUGCUUUCGAUACGGGUGGACUAGAGGUAUGCAGGGGAGAACGGAAUUCUCGGUGUAGAGGUGAAAUUCGUAGAUAUCGAGAGGAACAUCGGUGGCGAAGGCGGCCUUCUGGACAGUGACUGACGCUGAGACGCGAAAGCGUGGGGAGCAAACAGG